rnacentral:rRNA from 1 species
UACGUAGGAUGCGAGCGUUGUCCGGAAUUAUUGGGCGUAAAGAGAACGUAGGCGGUUUGUUAAGUUUGGGCUUAAAGACUGGGGCUCAACCCCAGGAGUGGCUCGAAAACUGACAGACUAGAGGAUGGCAGAGGAAAGUGGAAUUCCCAGUGUAGCGGUGAAAUGCGUAGAUAUCUGGAGGAAUACCGGUGGCGAAGGCGGCAUCCUGGACCGACAUUGACGCUGAACGGCGAAAGCUAGGGAGCG